rnacentral:rRNA from 1 species
UGAGGCGCGAAAGCUAGGGGAGCGAACAGGAUUAGAUACCCCUGGUAGUCCUAGCCGUAAACGUUGGGUGCUAGGUGUGGGCGGAUAUCGACCCCGUCCGUGCCGAAGCUAACGCAUUAAGCACCCCGCCUGGGGAGUACGGCCGCAAGGCUAAAACUCAAAGGAAUUGACGGGGGCCCGCACAAGCGGCGGAGCAUGCGGCUUAAUUCGAUGCAACGCGAAGAACCUUACCUGGGCUUGACAUGCAGGGCAAAGCCGGUGAAAGCCGGCGCUCUACGGAGCCUGCACAGGUGGUGCAUGGCUGUCGUCAGCUCGUGCCGUGAGGCGUUGCCUUAAGUGGCGCAACGAGCGCAACCCUUGUCCCUAGUUGCCAGCGGAUCAUGCCGGGAACUCUAGGGAGACUGCCGGUGCCAAACCGGAGGAAGGUGGGGAUGACGUCAAGUCAUCAUGCCCCUUAUGUCCAGGGCUGCACGCAUGCUACAAUGGCGCGGUACAAAGGGCUGCGAUCCCGCAAGGGGGAGCGAAUCCCAAAAAGCCGCGCUCAGUUCGGAUCGGGGUCUGCAACCCGACCCCGUGAAGUCGGAG